CCCUUAGAUGUUCUGGGCUGCACGCGCGCUACACUGACGCACGCAACAGGUGCCUGCUCCGAGAGGACUGGGUAAUCAUUUGAGUGUGCGUCGUGAUGGGGAUAGAAUAUUGUAAUUAUUACUCUUCAACGAGGAAUUCCUAGUAAGCGCCAGUCAGCAGCUUGCGCUGAUUGCGUCCCUGCCCUUUGUACACACCGCCCGUCGCUCCUACCGAUGGGUGAUCCGGUGAAUGAUUCGGACUUCAGCGGCUCCCCUGGGGUGCGCCGGAGAAAGUUUUGUGAACCUUAUCACUUGGAGGAAGGAGAAGUCGUAACA
rnacentral:rRNA from 1 species